rnacentral:rRNA from 1 species
CCUGCAGUCGACGGUGAACCCAGCUUGCUGGGUGGAUCAGUGGCGAACGGGUGAGUAACACGUGAGCAACCUGCCCCUGACUCUGGGAUAAGCGCUGGAAACGGCGUCUAAUACUGGAUACGAGACGUGAUCGCAUGGUCAACGUUUGGAAAGAUUUUUCGGUUGGGGAUGGGCUCGCGGCCUAUCAGCUUGUUGGUGAGGUAAUGGCUCACCAAGGCGUCGACGGGUAGCCGGCCUGAGAGGGUGACCGGCCACACUGGGACUGAGACACGGCCCAGACUCCUACGGGAGGCAGCAGUGGGGAAUAUUGCACAAUGGGCGCAAGCCUGAUGCAGCAACGCCGCGUGAGGGAUGACGGCCUUCGGGUUGUAAACCUCUUUUAGCAGGGAAGAAGCGAGAGUGACGGUACCUGCAGAAAAAGCACCGGCUAACUACGUGCCAGCAGCCGCGGUAAUACGUAGGGUGCAAGCGUUAUCCGGAAUUAUUGGGCGUAAAGAGCUCGUAGGCGGUUUGUCGCGUCUGCUGUGAAAUCUGGGGGCUCAACCCCCAGCCUGCAGUGGGUACGGGCAGACUAGAGUGCGGUAGGGGAGAUUGGAAUUCCUGGUGUAGCGGUGGAAUGCGCAGAUAUCAGGAGGAACACCGAUGGCGAAGGCAGAUCUCUGGGCCGUAACUGACGCUGAGGAGCGAAAGGGUGGGGAGCAAACAGGCUUAGAUACCCUGGUAGUCCACCCCGUAAACGUUGGGAACUAGUUGUGGGGUCCAUUCCACGGAUUCCGUGACGCAGCUAACGCAUUAAGUUCCCCGCCUGGGGAGUACGGCCGCAAGGCUAAAACUCAAAGGAAUUGACGGGGACCCGCACAAGCGGCGGAGCAUGCGGAUUAAUUCGAUGCAACGCGAAGAACCUUACCAAGGCUUGACAUAUACGAGAACGGGCCAGAAAUGGUCAACUCUUUGGACACUCGUAAACAGGUGGUGCAUGGUUGUCGUCAGCUCGUGUCGUGAGAUGUUGGGUUAAGUCCCGCAACGAGCGCAACCCUCGUUCUAUGUUGCCAGCACGUAAUGGUGGGAACUCAUGGGAUACUGCCGGGGUCAACUCGGAGGAAGGUGGGGAUGACGUCAAAUCAUCAUGCCCCUUAUGUCUUGGGCUUCACGCAUGCUACAAUGGCCGGUACAAUGGGCUGCAAUACCGUGAGGUGGAGCGAAUCCCAAAAAGCCGGUCCCAGUUCGGAUUGAGGUCUGCAACUCGACCUCAUGAAGUCGGAGUCGCUAGUAAUCGCAGAUCAGCAACGCUGCGGUGAAUACGUUCCCGGGUCUUGUACACACCGCCCGUCAAGUCAUGAAAGUCGGUAACACCUGAAGCCGGUGGCCUAACCCUUCGGGAGGAG